GUGACGACUUGAACCCGGCCGGAGCGGUGAAGAGAGACCCGCAUGGGUCCUGU
rnacentral:snoRNA from 1 species